UGAGCAACCUACCGAUUUGAGGGGGAUAGCUGGCCUAACGGCCAGGUAAUACCGCAUACGCUCAUAAAGCCUCCUGGCUUACUGAGGAAACCUCCGGGGCAGAUCGAGGGGCUCGCGGCCUAUCAGCUUGUUGGUGAGGUAAUGGCUCACCAAGGCGACGACGGGUAGCCGGCCUGAGAGGGUGACCGGCCACACUGGGACUGAGACACGGCCCAGACUCCUACGGGAGGCAG
rnacentral:rRNA from 1 species